UACGGGGGGGGCAAGCGUUGUUCGGAAUUACUGGGCGUAAAGGGCUCGUAGGCGGCCAACUAAGUCAGACGUGAAAUCCCUCGGCUUAACCGGGGAACUGCAUCUGAUACUGGAUGGCUUGAGUUCGGGAGAGGGAUGUGGAAUUCCAGGUGUAGCGGUGAAAUGCUUAGAUAUGACACAGAACACCGAUUGCGAAGGCAGCUCACUAAGCUGUAACUGACACUGAGGCACGAAAGUGUGGGUAGCAAACAGG
rnacentral:rRNA from 1 species